UUUUUUUUUUUUUUCCUUUUUUCUUUUUUUUUUGGUGGACUGUGUCAAAGAAGCCAGUUCUUCAUUGAGUGUCUGGCUUGAGGAGGGGAGAUAGCAAGUUGGCUCAUUUCUGUCACCUUUCUAAUUGCAUCAGAUUUAAGGCAUGUUGCCUUAAAGGUCUUGCUGCACUUUCUCUUUUUGUGUGUUUUCCCUUCCUUCCCACUUCUGUGGUAAUCAACCAUUUUAUUUGGUUUGGGUCUUGUAGGUCUUGAUUUAUGCACUUUCCAGGUUGGGAGCUCACCCUUCCCUUUGGGUAAGAACUGAGCAGUGGAUGGCUCUGAGUAGAAGUAGUGAUCUUUGUUAGUAGUGUCUCAGCUGGAGCAGCUUGAGGUGCAUGUGUGGUUAUUAGCAGUGCUAAUGUGUCACUAAUCCAGACUUGACUUUCCUUUCUGUGUACAGCUAAAGCAUAGUGCUCUCAAUGACUUCCUUAAUCAUUUUAAUGAAUGGUUUUAGUCUUACAUAUUGCAUAGUAUAGUAGUUUACAAAUUACCUGAAUAAUAGUUUCUAAUACAAGAUUAAAUAAAAACAGACUAAAAUUUAAGACUAAUGGUAUUAAGAAAAUAUGAAAAAGUAGAUAAUAGGCUACUGUUACUAGAUGUUAUAAGGUGAUGAACAUAAUUUAUAUUUUUAGAAUUUAGCUAUAAAAUAUUUAAAAAUAACUUGUAGUUGAAAUUAGUUUUAAAAGAUUAUUAAGCUUUAAUACUGUGUGUACCUCUUUGAAUUAAUUUUUACUGAAACUUUCAUUCCUGUUUCACACGUGCACAAUGAUACUGCUAUUUUCCAUGUUAGAGAAGUUAUUCAUGAAAUGGCCUCUUACAGGAGUUUAAUUUGUUAAAAGUUAUCUUUUUGAUGAAAAGAUAACUUUGGGUAUCAUAUAAACUUAUAGGUACAUUGUAGCUAAAUUUAGUAAUGGCCUAUUGAAAGUACUACCAGAAUCUUAGAAGUACCGGCUUCAUUUACAUCACAGUGUUGUAAAUAUAGUAUAUAGGCACUAUUGUCCAUUCUGUGCAUGUUCUGGACUCACCUUUGCAUCUAUUUAACUUGUUCUUUUAGAUAUCGGCCCCACUACUGCUGAUGCCUCCUCAUUGCCUCAGCCAGGUGUCAGUCAGAGUUCACGGCCAUUAACUGAAGAGCAGCUAGAUGGGAUCCUCAGUCCUGAGCUAGACAAAAUGGUCACAGAUGGUAAAAUACUUACCCUACAUCUAGGCUUUCUAAAAGACUUGAGUAAAUAUGACUUUCAAAGCUUUUUGCAUGCAAUUUUGUGUUUGGACUUGCUUUAAUUAUUUUUCUAUUAAUUAAAUGAUAUUUUAUAAGUCAUAUUGAAUAGGUAAUCAUUAAUAUUCCUUUUAUUUUAGGAGCAAUUCUUGGAAAGUUAUAUAAAAUUCCAGGUAUGUUUUUAUUCUCUUGUUUUACUUUAUAAAAAAUGGCAUUCCCCUUAGAAUGACCUUAAUAAUCUUCAUGUUAUUUCUGUGAUUAUUUUACUUAGAGCUUGGAGGAAAGGAUGUUGAAGACUUGUUUACUGCUGUACUUAGCCCUGCUACCACUCAGCCAGCUCCAUUACCACAGCCUCCCCCUCCACCACAGCUAUUGCCAAUGCACAAUCAGGGUAUUCUAUUACUUUCUAAGCAUGAUUUUAUUUGUAUGUAUAUUUGCAGGUGUGUGUGACAAUGUGCAUUCAAGGUCAAUCUCAUGCAGUGUUCUUCAAGAGUUACCUACUUUUUGGAGAGUGCCACAGUGCCCAACUUUAUUUACUUAUUAGUGAAUGUGUAGGAUAUAUGUGCUCAAGCUUGUGUGUGUGCACAAGCAAAAAUGUUUUUGUAUAUGCUAUGCAUUUACACCCUGAUAUGCACAUGGAAGUCAGAAGGUAAUGUCCAGGAAUCAAGGCUGCCAUGAUUCUCGGAGAAUCACUUAGGCUAUCCAGCUUGGCCAGAAGGGCUUCUACCCACUGAACCGUCUUACUGUGGCCCAUUUUCAAGGUCCCAUUAACUUUUUAAAAUGUAUAUUAUGUGUGUUUAUAGCUGUUUGGACACAUACAUUCUAGUGCACAUGUGGAAAACAGGACAGCUUGCAAGAAUAGGUUAAUUCCUUUCGUCAUUCCGUCUUGGGGAUCUAACUCAGGUGCUGAGAAUUGGCAACAAGCAGUAACUUUAUUUAUUCCCUCAGCCUUCUCACCCUCACUGCCUCCAGGCCUAGGUUUCUAUGCUCUUCAAGCUCUUUACUAUUUGAUAUAUCUCCCAGUGUCAGCAUCUCUCUCUCUCUCUCUCUCUCUCUCUCUCUCUCUCACACACACACACACACACACACACAGAGCCACGUAUACAAACUUAUAUG
rnacentral:lncRNA from 1 species